UACUGUUCUCUCUUAGGUGACUACUAUAAA
rnacentral:piRNA from 1 species